rnacentral:lncRNA from 1 species
AAGUCGUUAUUGUUUGCGUUAAUCACGUAGGAUAGGAAGGCGAAUCGGAAUUUUUAUUAACUACUAGUAAUAUACAUACACAGAGUAUAAAAUACUGUAUUGGCUUUAUCGCUUUUUGGGAGUGUUGGCCUCAGUCAGUCUUGAGAGACAGAACCACACCAACUUGUAUAAUUACAUUCUUCUACGUUAGUUCAUCAGUCGUUCCUUUACUCUGAUCAUCCGAAUCAUUCUCUCUCUCUCUCUCUCACUUCAUCUCUACGCAAAAUAAAUGGAAACCCAGUUUGAACAAAUUUGAAUUUUGUUGCAGGUUCUACUAGAUUUUACUAGUAAUUGUAUUUUCUUUUUAAUCUCAAUUCUCAUAGCUCCUUCAUCGCCUCCUCUAAUGUGAUUUAUUUACAAUCUCAGUGAUCCAGCGAAACGGAGACUGUGAUUAUGGCUUCUUCUAAGAUUAAGUAAG